rnacentral:rRNA from 1 species
UACGGGGGGGGCAAGCGUUGUCCGGAAUUACUGGGCGUAAAGAGCUCGUAGGUGGUUUGUCGCGUUGUUCGUGAAAACUCACAGCUUAACUGUGGGCGUGCGGGCGAUACGGGCAGACUGGAGUACUGCAGGGGAGACUGGAAUUCCUGGUGUAGCGGUGGAAUGCGCAGAUAUCAGGAGGAACACCGGUGGCGAAGGCGGGUCUCUGGGCAGUAACUGACGCUGAGGAGCGAAAGCGUGGGGAGCGAACAGG